GACAAUAUGUUCCAUACAAAAUAUUAUAAUUACUGCGAAGAAUCGAAUGUCAAUUAACAUGGCCGCUGCUACAUGUAUUCUACUUAUUUUACCAAUAAUGAUCAGUGGCCUCAUAGCUCUCACUACUGUAGCAAAUUCUGUAUUUAAAAAGAUGUACAAAGUGAAGAAACAUUGUCUUACUAUCGCAUCUUCAACAACCGACGAUGAAACACGGGGUGUAACAAGGCGUGUCGUAUCUUUAUUGGAAAUAGAUUUCACUAUUUCCAUAUACGGAAUGUUCACAUUGGAUAAUCGACUGCCAUUACAAUUGUUCGCCAUUGUUGCUACAUACACUAUAGUCCUUUUACAGUUCUCUGUGUUAAACUAAGUUAAAAUCAAUAUUAUUGUGUAGUUUUUAUUAGGUGUGUUCUAUCCAAAGCAAAGAGAGAUAAUGUAGAAAACUUGGAUGCAUACUUACAUCUAACUUAUAUAAAUAAUACUAUUACUUGCAAUGAAAAAAAUUAUAACACAUAUGUAAAUACUUUUGUUAGUCAACUAUUUUAUUUGCAUGACCGCCAU